rnacentral:rRNA from 1 species
UACGGGGGGGGCAAGCGUUGUUCGGAAUUACUGGGCGUAAAGGGCUCGUAGGUGGCCAACUAAGUCAGACGUGAAAUCCCUCGGCUUAACCGGGGAACUGCGUCUGAUACUGGAUGGCUUGAGUUCGGGAGAGGGAUGCGGAAUUCCAGGUGUAGCGGUGAAAUGCGUAGAUAUCUGGAGGAAUACCGGUGGCGAAGGCGGCAUCCUGGACCGACAUUGACGCUGAUGAGCGAAAGCUAGGGGAGCAAACGGG